AUUAAAGUGGCAGAUUGAAUGCAAUAGAUUUAAGCUCUGUAGAUGAAUUUUUCCUUUAAUA
rnacentral:tRNA from 1 species